rnacentral:rRNA from 1 species
UGAAUACGAGACGCUAAGGCGUCGAAGUAGUGUAUGUCAUACUUCCAAGAAAAGCUUGCACUGUCAUAGAUAAAAAACGCCUGUACCAUAACCGACACAGGUGGGUAGGUAGAGUAUACUAAGGGGCGCGAGAUAACUCUCUCUAAGGAACUCGGCAAAAUAACUCCGUAACUUCGGGAGAAGGAGUGCCUUAUUCGUAAGGUUGCAAUAACAAGAUCCAAGCAACUGUUUAUCAAAAACACAGGUCUCCGCUAAGUCGUAAGACGAUGUAUGGGGGCUGACGCCUGCCCAGUGCCAGAAGGUUAAAGAAGUUGGUUAGCAAUUGCGAAGCUGAUAACUGAAGCCCUGGUGAACGGCGGCCGUAACAAUAACGGUCCUAAGGUAGCGAAAUUCCUUGUCGGGUAAGUUCCGACCCGCACGAAAGGCGUAAUGAUUUGGAUACUGUCUCGGAGAGGGGCUCGGUGAAAUAGACUUGUCUGUGAAGAUGCGGACUACCUGCACCAGGACAGAAAGAUCCUAUGAAGCUUUACUGUAACUUGAAAUUGAAAUUGGACUUUAUUCGCGCAGUAUAGGUGGGAGGCGUUGAUUAUAAUCUUGUGGGAUUAUUGGAGCCAUCAGUGAGAUACCACUCUUGUAAUGUUAGAUUUCUAACUUUGAAUCAUUAUCUGGUCAAAGAACAGUUUCAGGCGGGCAGUUUGACUGGGGCGGUCGCCUCCUAAACGGUAACGGAGGCGUACAAAGGUUUCCUCUGAACGGUUAGAAAUCGUAUCUAGAGUGUAAAGGCAUAAGGAAGCUUGACUGUGAGACCUACAAGUCGAGCAGGGACGAAAGUCGGUCUUAGUGAUCUGACGGUACUGAGUGGAAAGGCCGUCACUCAACGGAUAAAAGUUACUCUAGGAUAACAGGCUGAUCUCCCCCAAGAGUUCACGUCGACGGGGAGGUUUGGCACCUCGAUGUCGGCUCAUCGCAUCCUGGGGCGGUAGUACGUCCCAAGGGUUGGGCUGUUCGCCCAUGAAAGCGGUACGCGAGCUGGGUUCAGAACGUCGUGAGACAGUUCGGUCCAUAUCCGGUGUAGGCGUUAGAAUAUUGAGAGGAGCCUUCUUUAGUACGAGAGGACCGAGAAGGACAUACCUCUGGUGUACCAGUUAUCGUGCCAACGGUAAACGCUGGGUAGCUAUGUAUGGAGUGGAUAACCGCUGAAAGCAUCUAAGUGGGAAGCCCACCUCAAGAUAAGUAUUCUCAUC